rnacentral:rRNA from 1 species
CCAGACUCCUACGGGAGGCAGCAGUGGGGAAUAUUGCACAAUGGGGGAAACCCUGAUGCAGCAACGCCGCGUGAGUGAGGAAGUAUUUCGGUAUGUAAAGCUCUAUCAGCAGGGAAUAGAAAAGAAGGUACCUGAAAAAGAAGCCCCGGCUAACUCCGUGCCAGCAGCCGCGGUAAUACGUAGGGGGCAAGCGUUAUCCGGAUUUACUGGGUGUAAAGGGAGCGUAGACGGCAGAGCAAGUCUGAAGUGAAAGCCCGCGGCCCAACUGCGGGACUGCUUUGGAAACUGCCCGGCUAGAGUGCUGGAGAGGUAAGCGGAAUUCCUAGUGUAGCGGCGAAAUGCGUAGAUAUUAGGAGGAACACCAGUGGCGAAGGCGGCUUACUGGACAGUAACUGACGUUGAGGCUCGAAAGCGUGGGGAGCAAACAGGAUUAGAUACCCCUGUAC